rnacentral:lncRNA from 1 species
CGGGCCUCAACCAAUACGUGUGGGAUGAUUGAGAAACUUCCAGGAGAAUUCCUACUCCACCGGGUUACCAGAGAGAAAGCCUCGUUCCAAGGCCUUUCCAUCUGUGUGAGAGCAGCGCCAACUGAAAUAAGAGGACUACUCAGUGGCACAGCUGAUGACGAACAUUGCUGGGGGUUGAUCAGUAUGAACACGUGGACGAUCAGUCAUGGUGAAAUCUGCACAGUGGCCCGGAGGAGACGAUGGAACAUCAACCCGCCCACCAACAGUGUCAGCAUCAUUCCCUAAUAUCAUGCUCCAGCAACAGGAGACUUUUCACCUUGGUUUUGUGCUGGCAGCGGGAUCUCAGCAUUUGCUUGGCCAAGCUGUCUCUCCCAAGUACCUACUCAUAUAAAUAGAUACCUUGAUUUAAUUUGGGCUUUAUUCCUUUUCUCUCUCCUUGCCUGGAACAGUGGUACGAUUAAUCUAUCCCUGGUUUGGAGUACAUUAUAUUUUUUUUUAUUGGCUUAUUAAGAGACAUUAUGCUGUGUGUUACGGGCUUGUGAAUGAUCCUAAAUCCCACAGCAAAUCUGUAUUAAAUAAAGUAUUAGCA